AUUGAACGCUGGCGGCAUGCUUUACACAUGCCAGUCGAACGGCAGCGCGGGCUUCGGCCUGGCGGCGAGUGGCGAACGGGUGAGUAAUGCAUCGGAAUGUGCCCAGUAGUGGGGGAUAGCCCGGCGAAAGCCGGAUUAAUACCGCAUACGACCUGAGGGUGAAAGCGGGGGACCGAAAGGCCUCGCGCUAUUGGAGCGGCCGAUGUCGGAUUAGCUAGUUGGUGGGGUAAAGGCUUACCAAGGCGACGAUCCGUAGCUGGUCUGAGAGGACGACCAGCCACACUGGGACUGAGACACGGCCCAGACUCCUACGGGAGGCAGCAGUGGGGAAUUUUGGACAAUGGGGGCAACCCUGAUCCAGCCAUGCCGCGUGCGGGAAGAAGGCCUUCGGGUUGUAAACCGCUUUUGUUCGGGAAGAAAUCCUCUGGGCUAAUACCCCGGGGGGAUGGCGGUACCGGAAGAAUAAGCACCGGCUAACUACGUG
rnacentral:rRNA from 1 species